rnacentral:piRNA from 1 species
UGGUAUGCAUGAAACCCAGGGUUC